ensembl:lncRNA
GUGUGUUAUCAUUUCAGUAGUAGACCAGUUAGACCAUAGUGUGUUAUCAUUUCAGUAGUAGACCAGUUAGACCAUAGUGUGUUAUCAUUUCAGUAGUAGACCAGUUAGACCAUAGUGGUUAAGUAAGGAGACUUAACAUCUGAGAGAUGUACAGUAGCUAUACAUUAUGUUCCUGAUAAGACUAUGUAACACUGUACAUAAGGACUAUGUAACACUGUACAUAAGGACUACUUAACAGAUCAACCUGCAGCUGUUGACAUAAGCAUUUAUGAACUGUUUAUGCACUUCCUAUGAAUGUGUAAUGAAUGUUUUAUGAUGUCCUUACAGUAUCUAUGUACCCGUCAAAUAAAGUGUUCCCAACUACUGUAUGUACUGAGACUGGAGUUCGGACUAAAUGAGAGAAAGGACUUCAUGGCACUGCCUUGGCUUUUAAGCUGGUAUGGCACUAGGCCUGGUUUGGCACUAGGCUUGGCACUAGGCAUGGUUUGGCACUAGGCUUGGCACUAGGCAUGGUUUGGCACUAGGCUUGGCACUAGGCCUGGUUUGGCACU